CGUCGCCACGGUAAUACGAACCGUGCGAACGUUAUUCGGAAUUACUGGGCUUAAAGCGCGUGUAGGCGGGCCGCCACGUCGGCUGCUGAAAUCCCCCGGCUCAACCGGGGAACGGGCACCGAUACGGCCGGGCUGGAGGGGGGUAGGGGGGCCUGGAACUUCCGGUGGAGCGGUGAAAUGCGUUGAGAUCGGAAGGAACGCCCGCGGCGAAAGCGAGGCCCUGGACCCUUUCUGACGCUGAGACGCGAAAGCCAGGGGAGCGAACGGGAUUAGAUACCCCGGUAGUCCCUGUCUCUUAUAC
rnacentral:rRNA from 1 species